rnacentral:rRNA from 1 species
CUACGGGGCGCUCCAGUGGGGAAUAUUGCACAAUGGGGGAAACCCUGAUGCAGCAACGCCGCGUGGAGGAUGACGCAUUUCGGUGUGUAAACUCCUUUUAUAUAGGAAGAUAAUGACGGUACUAUAUGAAUAAGCACCGGCUAACUCCGUGCCAGCAGCCGCGGUAAUACGGAGGGUGCAAGCGUUACUCGGAAUCACUGGGCGUAAAGCGCGCGCAGGCGGCCUUUUAAGUUGGAUGUGAAAGCCUAUGGCUUAACCAUAGAACUGCAUCCAAAACUAUCAGGCUAGAGUCUGGGAGGGGAAGAUGGAAUUAGUUGUGUAGGGGUAAAAUCCGUAGAGAUAACUAGGAAUACCAAAAGCGAAGGCGAUCUUCUGGAACAGUACUGACGCUGAGGCGCGAAAGCGUGGGGAGCAAACAGGAUUAGAUACCCUCGUAGUC